GACGAACGCUGGCGGCGUGCUUAACACAUGCAAGUCGAACGGAAAGGCCCUGCUUUUGUGGGGUGCUCGAGUGGCGAACGGGUGAGUAACACGUGAGUAACCUGCCCUUGACUUUGGGAUAACUUCAGGAAACUGGGGCUAAUACCGGAUAGGAGCUCCUGCAGCAUGGUGGGGGUUGGAAAGUUUCGGCGGUUGGGGAUGGACUCGCGGCUUAUCAGCUUGUUGGUGGGGUUGUGGCUUACCAAGGCUUUGACGGGUAGCCGGCCUGAGCGGGUGACCGGCCACAGUGGGACGGAGAUACGGCCCAGACUCCUACGGGAGGCAGCAGUGGGGAAUAUUGCACAAUGGGCGGAAGCCUGAUGCAGCAACGCCGCGUGCGGGAUGACGGCCUUCGGGUUGUAAACCGCUUUCGCCUGUGACGAAGCGUGAGUGACGGUAAUGGGUAAAGAAGCACCGGCUAACUACGUG
rnacentral:rRNA from 1 species